rnacentral:tRNA from 1 species
CGGCUGCUGGCCGACCUGCUGCGGUUCGCCGAGCUGCGGUCGGCGGGCGAGACCGACCUGGCGGUCGCGGCCCCGGUCGCGGAGGAGCCGGUCGCC